CGUUCGAAAUUGACGAUAUUAGGGUUUUCGUUGGAAGCAAAAUGUCACCGGGUAGGCUGCCGACCGUCGCCGAAAUAGGCCAGCUGGUGGCGCCGGAGAGGCUUCUCCCUACUGUGGAAUUCAACACGACGGUAAAGAAGAAGCGCUUUAUGUGCCAGAAGAGAAAAGCAACAAAAAAAAAAAAAGCGAACUGAUGAAGAAUUGAAAAGAGAAGGGAAGGAAUCUUUGGAAGGACAUGCAUCGUCUUCAUCUCAAACGGUGGGAAGGACAUGCAUCGUCUUCAUCGUACAGGGAGGCUUGACAUUUCGAAUGUGGAGGAAUCUGAAGAAGAAUUAGAGUUGGGAGGCAUUGGUACAAGCAGAGAAGGGAAGGAGCCCUUAGAAGGACAUGCAUCGUCUCCAUCUCAAACGUUGGGGAAGGACAUGCAUCGUCUUCAGCGUACAGGAAGGCUUGACAUUUCGAAUGUGGAGGAACAAAUUCUGGUUCUUUCCCAAGAAAACUCGUGGUAUUUGAGGUUUUAUACAUCCACAAACACUUUGAUAUGCAUAUAUGCCAUACCUAUGUUAUGUUUUUACUUGCGUGCAAAGAGCAUGUGUAGUUUAUUGGUGUUAUCCAUGGGGUUUUUUCUUUUCAAUUCUUCCGUUUUCUUGCCUCCCAUACAGAUUCUAGGGUUCUCAACCUUAUGUUUUUACCUGUAUUCUACCGUCUUUGAUUCUUUGACAGUGGAAUGAAAGACGUCAUUAAUUGAGUUUGUUGCACGUUCAAGGGGUACAAUGCAUGUUUUAGCUCUGGAAAAUCAGAUCUAGAACUGCUAUGAUUUCUGGCUUACCAACCAAAGUUGGUGAAAAUAUUGGAAAUUUUCUCUUUGAAGUGUUAGUGACUCCGCGUAAUGUUUAUCCAGGCAGGCUCCUAAUUUCUGUGGAAGCAGCUUUGAAAUAUUUCCCUUCUCUAGCCAAUCGUCAGGAAACUUACGAGGAGAAGAUUGAGAUCACAGACACUCAAAACAGAGAUUGGCCUAUGACAGUGAAAUAUCUUAGGUUGGAGAGUUUCUUCGUUAUGGAUAGCAAUUGGUAGAGUUUUCUUUUGCGGAAUCGUUUGGAUGGUAUGGAUGUGAUUCGUUUCUACAUACCUUUACCGGUUUGUUACAAUAACUGUUACCUGGUUGAACUUGCCAAACGAAGGUAUCCAGGGAUCAUCCAUAAAUUGAACCCUGAAAAUUACCUGGUUGAGCUGCCAUUGACUGAUGCGGACAGCUUGUGCAAAAGUCUCUUCAUUCCCACGAAAGAAGUAAAGAGUCAUUUCCCCGCAGUUGGAAUUCCCAGCUAAAACACAUCACAUGGAGACUCUUUACUUUACUGAUGAGCGGAACGGUGAAUGGCGCAUGAAAAUUGCAUGCUUUCGUGCUCUUUUCCGGCUUAUGAUGGAGGAAUUCAUCCUUGAGCGCAAUUUGGUAGAAGGGGAUACAAUUAGGUUUCACAAAGCUGACCAGCCUUCUUUAAACACGGAUCACUUUCUUAUUGGAUUUGUCAAAGGAUGUGGUGUUCCGACUGAAUUAAGGACUGCUGCAGUAAAUGAUUGCACGGAUCGAGGCAGUGACAGGGAGGGUGAUGGUGGAGGAGGAGGAGCAGACAGAGGCAGCAACAGACAGGGUGAUGGCAGAGGAGGGAGUAGCAGUGGGGGCCGCAUGAUGUUGAAAUUUGGUUUUGGAGAUUGCUGUAUGGCGUUGAAAAGCAAUGCAAGGACAGAGGAGUCAUGAACAAGAAAGUAGCAACAGUGGCGAUUUUGACCAAGUAGGUAAGGAUAGUCAUUCGACGAAAUUUUGAUUCCAGAUUCUCCUUGUAAAUUCCUGAGGUAGAUGGAACGACGAAAUGGUAGUUUCUAGUAGUAGCUAGCUCUGUAAAAGAUAGUGAACAGUGUUUGCUGAUGAUUGCCGAUGACACUCUGAUUAUUGAUUGUGAUAACAUCGAGGCAUUUCUCUGUCCUUUUUGAAUUGGUAAAAACUCAAUCAUAAUGGGCAACUACUGUUUGGAGUUUUGGUUUC